CCCAGGGUAGGGGUAAGGCUGCGUACACACUACCCUCCCCAGACACCACUGAGUGGUAUUGUACUGGGUCGUACUAGGCCACACACUUAGGUACAUGAUGUACAUGUUUUUGUCAUGGUUUUCAGUAUUUGGAGUAAGAAACAUGAUAAAUAUACAACAAGCUCGAUUUAUUAACCAAAUUUGUAGCAAGUCAAAAAGAUCACCAGCAUUAUUGAUUUUUGUAGUGUUGAAGAAGCAAAUGCAAUGUAUAAAGCACGUUCUCACUUAUGGGCUUUCAAAUGGCCACUUUUGAUGAUGAAGUGUGAGUGCUUUUGAAGAAUCUCUAGUUUAUCUUAUCUCGUAGUGAUUGACUACAUUGUAAUUCUAGAGAAAUUCUAGAAGUUGAGUAUUAUUUCUUC
rnacentral:lncRNA from 1 species